UGCCCAGCAACUCCUAUCCCUACCUCCACGUGGUACUGGCCGGAGGACGAGUAAUCUUAGGGAUGAUCGGGUAACCAACCCCCGGUGGGAACUUUGGUCGUAUACUGACAGGCAAGG
rnacentral:ribozyme from 1 species